GUACUUUCAGUCGUGAGGAAGGCGGCGUCGUUAAUAGCGGCGUUGUUUGACGUUAGCGACAGAAGAAGCACCGGCUAACUCCGUGCCAGCAGCCGACGGUAAUACGGGAGGGUGCGAGACGUUAAGUACGGUAAUUACGUGGGACGUAAAGCGCAUGCGAGGUUGGUUUAGUUAAGUCAGAUGUAGAAACGGCCCCGGGGCUACCAACCGUACGGUAAGUUGCUAGUUUAGAAACGUGGCAGACUAGAGUACUGUAGAGGGGGUAGAAUUUCAGGUGUAGCGGUGAAAUGCGUAGAGAUCUGAAGGAAUACCGGUGGCGAAGGCGGCCCCCUGGACAGAUACUGACACUCAGAUGCGAAAGCGUGGGGAGCAAACAGGAUUAGAUACCCUGGUAG
rnacentral:rRNA from 1 species